rnacentral:rRNA from 1 species
UAAGGAAUAUUGCUCAAUGGGAGAAAUCCUGAAGCAGCAACGCCGCGUGGAGGAUGAAGGGUCUAUGACUUGUAAACUCCUGUAAAGAAGGAAAAAAUUCCCAUUUGAUGGGAGAUGAUGGUACUUCUGGAGUAAGCCCCGGCUAACUACGUGCCAGCAGCCGCGGUAAUACGUAGGGGGCAAGCGUUGUCCGGAUUUACUGGGUGUAAAGGGUGCUCAGGCGGAUUUGUAAGUCAGAGGUGAAAUCUUACAGCUUAACUGUGAAACUUCCUUUGAUACUGCAAGCCUAGAGUAUGGAAGAGAGUGAUGGAAUAUCUGGUGGAGCAGUGAAAUGCGUAGAUAUCAGAUAGAACACCAAUGGCGAAGGCAGUCACUUGGUCCAUUACUGACGCUAAAGCACGAAAGCGUGGGUAGCAAACA